rnacentral:rRNA from 1 species
GAUGAACGCUGGCGGCGUGCCUAAUACAUGCAAGUCGAGCGAACGGACGAGAAGCUUGCUUCUCUGAUGUUAGCGGCGGACGGGUGAGUAACACGUGGAUAACCUACCUAUAAGACUGGGAUAACUUCGGGAAACCGGAGCUAAUACCGGAUGAUAUUUUGAACCGCAUGGUUCAACAGUGAAAGACGUUCUUGCUGUCACUUAUAGAUGGAUCCGCGCUGCAUUAGCUAGUUGGUAAGGUAACGGCUUACCAAGGCAACGAUGCGUAGCCGACCUGAGAGGGUGAUCGGCCACACUGGAACUGAGACACGGUCCAGACUCCUACGGGAGGCAGCAGUGGGGAAUAUUCCGCAAUGGGCGAAAGCCUGACGGAGCAACGCCGAGUGAGUGAAGAAGGUCUUCGGAUCGUAAAACUCUGUUAUUAGGGAAGAACAGAUGUGUAAGUAACUGUGGAUGUCUUGACGGUACCAAAUCAGAAAGCCACGGCUAACUACGUG